GGAAACUAAUGUAAUUGGAGAGGGAGGAGAAGGAGAAAAUAAUUCAGAAAUACAGAGGAGCUAGGCAAGGAGCGGUGAUAGAUUGCUCCAGAAAGGCAGUAAGUAUCUAGCAUCUUCCGGGGAGCCCCUGGGGGCCUAUCUGACCUGUUUGUUCUUUGGUUAUGGAGUACUAAGAACAGGGCUGAGGCUGGUGCCCUGACAGAGUGGGCAUUUGCUGCGCUGACUUCUGGAAGUCCUCAGUCCCAUUGUUGACUAAGUGCCAAGAUCACGUGGUAGGACAUGUUUCUAACAGAAAAGGAAGCCAUGCUGCUGCUGUGCAUGUGCUUACACUGAAUAGGAGUGAAGUUUUGCAUCUUCUAAAAUGCAUUAAAGAGUGAUCAAAAUUACAGCCCUCUCUGAAUGAGACUCUCCUUUAACACAACUUACAUUCGAAAGAAUCAUCUGAAAGGAAUGUGGAGAUCAGAGAAAAAUGAUGGGAAAGUUACCACAGCCUGCAAAUGAGAAAUGAUGAGAGCCUGCCUGGGAUUGCCGGAGGCCAGAAAGUAAGACAAAUAACAGCUCACCUGCCUGGCUUGUUGGAGCAACAAGAAACUUUAAGAGCAAUCCUCCAUUUGCCAGGUUCCUUGGUAAUUAGACUUGUCAAUAGAACAGAUUUCUGUGUCCAUAAUGCAUAAGGUUAAGUAAGGGGAAGAUAACUGGAAAGCUGAGCUGGAGUUUGAAAGACAAGAUGUAUUUCAAACUUCCCUUGAACUUUCUCCAGUAAGUAUAAUUGUGUGCUUGUUGUCAACCCGGCCUUAGUCCUUGUCAUUACAGGUUCAGUAGCUGCAAAGGUGAAAUGUUUUGACAAAUAUUGAACGUCAUCUAUUUUAUACUCUGGAUCAGCAUGGAUGUUUUUUAGCUUCUUCAGACGGCUCUGUAAUGGAGUUAUAUUUGGAAGUUUCCCAGUAUGGUGCAAAAAGCCUCAUAGAGAGAGGAAGUUUAUAAACUGCAGUUCUACGCGAAGAAGAAAGACCAGAUGCUCAUCCUGCAUGACUCCUCCUUGAGCCUUUGUAUUUUCCCAGCUAGACCUUUCAGGCUUCCUAUUUAUACAUUUAUCUCAAGUAUACCGAGUGGUGACAAAGAUGCGAAUCGGCCAGCACAUUUUCACUCAGUGUAGAGAGAAGCCAUUUAAAGACUGAGAUAACAUUUCAAGAAAACAAUAAAACCUGACAAUAAGGGAAGAUGAGAAAAAAGGAACAUUCCUGACUGUGGUUCUGACAUUCACAAUGUUUCCAUCUGUUUGUUUCACUGAAAUGAUGUUCUCCCGUUCCUGUUUGGCUUAUUAAAAAGUGUAUAGGUUAAAAGAUCUGUUAAAAAUGGUCCAUAUCUGUAAAAUUGUCUGGAAAGAUCCACAGAAAGUUACAAGUUUUUUUCCUCUGGCUGCAAAUGAAAAAUAACAUAUGAAGAUCGUUUUAAAAAAUUUAUUCAAUUACUUCCAGUGUUAUUUUAUGACCCAGUUAUAUAUCAAUAAAAUUAAUAGGAAAAUUAUAUCAUAUAACUUUUAAGAGUCGUUCAUUAUUUAAACAGAGCAGUCAACAUUGGGAAGCUACCAGUUUAAGGAAAAAAGUUACUUAAGGUUAUUUCUAUAAGUACAUUAUAGAGUGUAUUACUGAGUGUUCUGUUACACUGACAGUUGUAGUGACAUUUACAAAUCCUAAAGUUAAAUUAUAUCAGUUUUACCUAUACAUUUGGAGUGAUCCAUGAGAAUGAUAGUUCAUGGGUGAUAAAUUCUCUUCCCAAUACUGUAUGGAGCAUAUCAAGAGUCAUCUCCUAUUAACUUUAUUCUCCUAAUCAAAGAGUGAAUUCUACUGUUUAACCCUAAAUCU
rnacentral:lncRNA from 10 species